CGCGGCCUAUCAGCUUGUUGGUGGGGUAACGGCUCACCAAGGCAUCGACGGGUAGCUGGUCUGAGAGGACGAUCAGCCACACUGGGACUGAGACACGGCCCAGACUCCUGCGGGAGGCAGCAGUGGGGAAUCUUGCGCAAUGGGCGAAAGCCUGACGCAGCAACGCCGCGUGGGGGAUGAAGGCUCUCGGGUUGUAAACCCCUUUCAUCAGGGACGAAAUUGACGGUACCUGAAGAAGAAGCCCCGGCCAACUACGUGCCAGCAGCCGCGGUGACACGUAGGGGGCGAGCGUUGUCCGGAAUUAUUGGGCGUAAAGAGCUCGUAGGCGGUUUAGUAAGUCAGAUGUGAAAGGUUGGGGCUCAACCCUAAGACUGCAUCCGAUACUGCUAUGACUAGAGUCCGGUAGAGGAGUGUGGAAUUCCUGGUGUAGCGGUGAAAUGCGCAGAUAUCAGGAGGAACACCGACGGCGAAGGCAGCACUCUGGGCCGGUACUGACGCUCAGGAGCGAAAGCGUGGGUAGCAAACAGGAUUAGAUACCCUGGUAGUCCACGCCGUAAACGUUGGGCACUAGGUGUGGGACCUUAUCAACGGGUUCUGUGCCGUAGCUAACGCAUUAAGUGCCCCGCCUGGGGAGUACGG
rnacentral:rRNA from 1 species